rnacentral:rRNA from 1 species
AAUAUUUCGCAAUGGAGGGAACUCUGACGCAGCGACGCCGCGUGAGCGAUGAAGGUCUUCGGAUCGUAAAGCCCUGUCUUUGGGGAAGAAGGUCUUCGGACUUGACGGUACCUUGGGAGGAAGCCCCGGCUAACUACGGGCCAGCAGCCGCGGUACUACGUAGGGGGCAAGCGUUGUCCGGAAUUAUUGGGCGUAAAGGGUGCGUAGGCGGCUUGUUAAGUCAGAUGUGAAAGCCCACGGCUUAACCGUGGGACUGCAUUUGAAACUGGAGGGCUUGAGUAUCGGAGAGGGUAGUGGAAUUCCCAGUGUAGCGGUGGAAUGCGUAGAUAUUGGGAGGAACACCAGUGGCGAAGGCGACUACCUGGACGAAAACUGACGCUGAGGCACGAAAGCUAGGGGAGCAAACA